rnacentral:rRNA from 1 species
AUGGCUCAGGAUGAACGCUGGCGGCGUGCCUAACACAUAGCAAGUCGAACGAAGCACUUAGCGGAACCUCGGGGAAGCUGUGUGACUGAGUGGCGGACGGGUGAGUAACGCGUGGGUAACCUGCCCUGUACAGGGGGAUAACAGCCGGAAAUGGCUGCUAAUACCGCAUAAGCGCACUGAUGGUAGCAUUACCAGGUGUGAAAAAACUCCGGUGGUACAGGAUGGGCCCGCGUCUGAUUAGCUUGUUGGCGGGGUAAGAGCCCACCAAGGCAACGAUCAGUAGCCGGUCUGAGAGGAUGAACGGCCACAUUGGAACUGAGACACGGUCCAAACUCCUACGGGAGGCAGCAGUGGGGAAUAUUGCACAAUGGGGGGAACCCUGAUGCAGCCAACGCCGCGUGAGUGAAGAAGUAUUUCGGUAUGUAAAGCUCUAUCAGCAGGGAAGAUAAUGACGGUACCUGACUAAGAAGCUCCGGCUAAAUACGUGCCAGCCGCGGC